AUUGAACGCUGGCGGCAGGCCUAACACAUGCAAGUCGAGCGGGGACUUCGGUCCUAGCGGCGAACGGGUGAGUAAUGCUUGGGAAUCUGCCCAGUAGUGGGGGAUAACGUCCCGAAAGGGACGCUAAUACCGCAUACGUCCUACGGGAGAAAGAGGGGGAUCUUCGGACCUCUCGCUAUUGGAUGAGCCCAAGUCGGAUUAGCUAGUUGAUAGGGUAAUGGCCUACCAAGGCGACGAUCCGUAGCUGGUCUGAGAGGAUGAUCAGCCACACUGGAACUGAGACACGGUCCAGACCCCUACGGGAGGCAGCAGUGGGGAAUAUUGGACAAUGGGCGAAAGCCUGAUCCAGCCAUGCCGCGUGUGUGAAGAAGGCCUUCGGGUUGUAAAGCACUUUAAGCGGGGAGGAAGGUUCGCGGCCUAAUACGUCGCGGAAUUGACGUUACCCGCAGAAUAAGCACCGGCUAACUCUGUG
rnacentral:rRNA from 1 species